ensembl:lncRNA
CUCCUUAAAGUAACACUUGUGAUGAAGUGGGAAGCAGGAAAGGCAUGCUUUAAACUUUUAGCAUUGAUGCUCAAGUGAGAAUCAACAUUUUAGCUGGAACCCAUUCAGAUGGCAAGGGAUUUUAAAGAUUGGCCAAUAUAGUCCAGACUCUACAAUAUAACAGUAAGUAAAAUCAAGAGAAUAGUCUUUAUCCCAAAGCUUUCUUCCAAUAAAUUGCAUUCUUUGCAGAAACCAAAUCAGGAGACAAAUACCCAUUUCCUGAGUUAGAUAAGGAAUGGAAAAGAGUGUAAUUGACUGUCACAGGGGCCUCUUUACAAAAUUGGUUGGAUAAGUUAAUGAAAAUAAUUGGUCAUGAGUGUGUGUGCAUGGUGAAUGGAAGUGCAAAAUUGAGCAUGUUUAAAAGAUAUGAUCAGGUGGCUAUACUGGAGGGCAAUAAUGGAGAAUUGAACAGAAUAAAAAGAGGGAAGUGGGAAAGAAAAAAAAAAGAAAUGGCAUUCACUUGCUGACUGUUACAACAAAACUAAGAGCAGCGCAGAGAUGCAAAAUUGAUGGUAUAUACAGAAAAGGAAAAUUAGUAAAGAAUAAAUAGUUCUGGAUACACAUACAAGCUAGCUGUUUGCAUUUACAGAUGGAUAUCACGUCUCCAGUAUAUAGUUGCUUCAUAUCCCACUGGUUUGCGGUCUAGAAUACUCAACGCCUUAUACAGGCCAUAUGUCAGCAGAAGACUCUUCUCUUUGAAGUACAUUAGAAACACUGGAGUGUGGAAGUGGGUCUGGCUGCAUCAUCUGUGAGUCAGGAAUACAAAUGGAUGUGGUGUUCAAGUCAAGAGGAUGCAACAAUUAGGAAUAAAAUAAGUCAGCAGUAAAGGAAAAUAAAAGAAAAUGUGGGUCAGCCACUGAGUGAGAUGAUGCCCCGGUAACAGCAGACACUGAGAAGGUAGAGUUACUGGAUGCCUUCUUUGCUUUAGUCUUUACUGCUAAGAGUUCCCCUUGGGAAUUCCAGACCCUGGAAAUUAGAGAGAAAGUCUUGGGGAAUGGAAGACAUGCCCUUGGUCAGAAAUUUUCUAGUCAAACUUCACACAUACAAAUCCAUGGGCCCCAAUGGGAUGCAUCCACAAGCGCUGAAGGAGCAGGCAGAAGUGGUUACCAAGCUGCUCUGUAUUGUCUUUGAAAGGUCAUGGAGAGUAGAAGUGAUGCCUGAGGACUGGAGGAGAGGUAAUGUUACUCCAGUCUUCAAAAAAGCUGGGAAACUAUAGACCAGUCAGCCUCACCUCCAUUCCUGGAAAGGUAACGUAGCAGCUUAUUCUGAAUUCCAUCUCCAUGCAAGCGGAAGGAAAGAAAGUUAUCAAGAAGAGUAGUCAACAUGUAUUCACCGAGAGGAAAUAAUGACUGACCAAUCUGGUAGCUUUCUACCAGGCUGGGUAGAUGAAGGGAAAGAAGCGGAUGUAGCAUACCUUGACUUCAGGAAGGCUAGGUAAGCUUAGAAAAUGUGAGACAGAUGAGUGGGC